ACGGAAGAAAUUGAAGCUCGAGAAGGAAUACCAAAACCUAGUUCACU
rnacentral:sRNA from 1 species